GGUCCAGGGGAAUAGGACGGUGUCAGAAUAUGCCCGUAAGUUCUUGGAGUUAGGCCGAUAUUCCCCUGAGACGUUGAUGGAUGAGGGUAGGAAGGCUAGAAGGUUCCAGUGGGGCCUCCGCCCAGAGAUCAAGCAGCACCUAUUUGUACUGGAGCUCAAGACAUACUCAGCCGUUCUGGCCAAGGCACAGUUAGUAGAGAGGAGCCUCCACACCCUCCCUCAGUUAGCAGGGAACCACAGACCCUCAGCUCCACUCCGCAGACCAGUACCUACUGCGCCUGUCCAACAGAACAAGAGGCCCAGACCGGUGAUCCAAGCUCUCCCUCAGGCUCCAGUGGCAGGACGUGGUAAGAUCUAUCAGCAUUGUGGCAGGGAUCACGGGGACCGAUCAUGUUA
rnacentral:lncRNA from 1 species